rnacentral:rRNA from 1 species
AAUACGUUCCCGGGCCUUGUACACACCGCCCGUCACACCACGAAAGCCGGCAACACCCGAAGCCGGUGGCCCAACCCUUACGGGAGGGAGCCGUCGAAGGUGGGGUCGGUGAUUGGGGUG